UUAAGAAACAAAGAGCGCACGGUGGAUGCCUUGGCACUAAUAGGCGAAGAAGGACGCGACUAACAGCGAAAUGCUACGGGGAGCAGUAAGUACGCAGAGAUCCGUAGAUGUCCGAAUGGGGGAACCCACUAGUUUGAAGAACUAGUAUCAUAUAGUGAAUACAUAGCUAUAUGAGGCAAACCUGGAGAAUUGAAACAUCUUAGUACCCAGAGGAAAAGAAAAUAAAUAAUGAUUCCCUAAGUAAAGGCGAUUGAAAGGGGAAGAGCCCAGCACCAUCAAGAGUUACAAAAUCUUUUUAUAGUAGAAUUGUAUUGGAAAAGCAAGUCAAAGAAGGUGAAAGCCCUGUAUACGAAAUAAAGAGAUCUCGGUGUGAGAGUAGGGCGGAGCACGUGAAAUUCUGUCUGAAUAUGCGAGGACCAUCUCGUAAGGCUAAAUACUCAUUAGUGACCGAUAGUGAACCAGUACUGUGAAGGAAAGGUGAAAAGAACCCCUGGCGGGGAGUGAAAAGAACCUGAAACCGUGUGCUUACAAACAGUUAGAGCCCAUCAAUGGGUGAUAGCGUGCCUUUUGUAGAAUGAGCCGGCGAGUUACGUUAAUUUGCAAGGUUAAGCUUUUAGGAGUGGAGCCGUAGCGAAAGCAAGUCUUAAUAGGGCGAAUAAGUAGAUUGACGUAUACCCGAAACCGGGUGAUCUAGCCAUGAGCAGGUUGAAGCUUGGGUAAAACCAGGUGGAGGACCGAACCAGGGUCUGUUGAAAAAGACUUGGAUGACUUGUGGCUAGGGGUGAAAUUCCAAUCGAACCCGGAGAUAGCUGGUUCUCCCCGAAAUAGCUUUAGGGCUAGCGUUGUGAGAAGAGUUAUACGAAGGUAGAGCACUGAAUGGGUGAGGGCCGCACCUCGCGGUACCAAUCUCAAUCAAACUCCGAAUGUCGUAUAAUAUGCGCAGCAGUAAGACUAUGGGUGAUAAGGUCCAUGGUCAAAAGGGAAACAGCCCAGACCGCCAGUUAAGGUCCCAAAAUUAUGCUAAGUGGGAAAGGAGGUGGAGUCGCUUAAACAACUAGGAGGUUGGCUCAGAAGCAGCCAUCCUUUAAAGAGUGCGUAAUAGCUCACUAGUCGAGUGGCUCUGCGCCGAAAAUGUACCGGGGCUAAACAUAUUACCGAAACUGUGGAUUUAUGCGAUAGCAUAAGUGGUAGGGGAGCGUUCUAAGGGCGAUGAAGAUAGAUCGAGAGGACUAUUGGAGCGCUUAGAAGUGAGAAUGCCGGUGUGAGUAACGUAAGGUAGGUGAGAAUCCUACCCACUGAUUGACCAAGGAUUCCAGGGUCAAGUUCGUCUACCCUGGGUAAGUCAGGACCUAAGGCGAGGCUGAGAAGCGUAGUCGAUGGACAACAGGUUUAUAUUCCUGUACUAUUUAUAGGACUGAAGGAGUGACAAAGGAAGCUAGUAAGAGCCAUUUAAUGGAUUAUGGUCUAAGCACAAAGACUGAUACAUAGGAAAAUCCGUGAUAUCGAACGGUUGAAGUGUGAUGGCGAAGCAGUCUACGGACAGCGAAGUCUUAUGAGGCUAAACUUUUUAAAAAAGCUUCUAAAGAAAUGCUAUAAAUACCUGUACUAAGAACCAACGCAGGUGGUCAAGGAGAGAAUCCUAAGGUGAGCGAGAGAACUAUGGUUAAGGAACUCGGCACAAUGAUCCCGUAACUUCGGAAUAAGGGAAGGUCUUGAAAAAGACCCGCAGUGAAUAGGCCCAAGCGACUGUUUACCAAAAACACAGGUUUCUGCAAAAGCGUAAGCUGAAGUAUAGGAGCUGACGCCUGCCCAGUGCUGGAAGGUUAAGAUGAUUUGUAAGAUGGACGAAAGUCGAUAACAUCGAAGCAAUGAAUUGAAGCCCCAGUGAACGGCGGCGAUAACUAUAAUCGUCCAAAGGUAGCGAAAUUCCUUGUCAGGUAAGUUCUGACCCGCACGAAAGGCGUAACGAUUUGGGCACUGUCUCAACCAUAGACUCGGUGAAAUCUUAAUACCUGUGAAAAUGCAGGUUACCAGCGACAGGACGGAAAGACCCCAUGGAGCUUUACUGUAGCUUGAUAUUGAAAUCAGGUAGUUAAUGUAGAGGAUAGGUGGUAGACAAUGAAGUUAAGACGCUAGUCUUAAUGGAGUCGACCUUGGAAUACCACCCUUUGACUAUUUGAUUUCUAACUUGCACCCGUAAUCCGGGUGAAGGACAGUGUCUGGUGGGCAGUUUGACUGGGGCGGUCGCCUCCUAAAGAAUAACGGAGGCGCUCAAAGGUUCCCUCAGAUUGGUCGGAAAUCAAUCAAAGAGUGUAUUGGUAUAAGGGAGCUUGACUGCGAGACCAACAAGUCGAGCAGGUGCGAAAGCAGGACAAAGUGAUCAGGCGGUAGAAAAUGGAAUUGCCGUCGCUUAACGGAUAAAAGUUACCCUGGGGAUAACAGGCUGAUACCACCCAAUAGUUCACAUAGACGGUGGUGUUUGGCACCUCGAUGUCGGCUCGUCACAUCCUGGAGGUGAAGUCGCUUCCAAGGGUUGGGCUGUUCGCCCAUUAAAGUGGCACGCGAGCUGGGUUCAGAACGUCGUGAGACAGUUCGGUCCCUAUCCGUCGUGGGCGUAGGAAAAUUGAGGAGAGCUGUUCCUAGUACGAGAGGACCGGAAUGGACAUACCUCUGGUGUAUCUGUUGUAACGCCAGUUGCAGCGCAGAGUAGCUAUGUAUGGACGGGAUAACCGCUGAAAGCAUCUAAGCGGGAAGCCUCCUCCAAGAUGAAUUUUCCCAUUCUUCGUGAAGUAAGAUUCCUUGUAGACUACGAGGUUGAUAGGCUGGAGAUGGAAGCAUAGUGAUAUGUUGAGUUGACCAGUACUAAUAAAUCGAGGAUUUAACUCA
rnacentral:rRNA from 1 species